CCUACGGGAGGCAGCAGUGGGGAAUAUUGGACAAUGGGGGCAACCCUGAUCCAGCCAUGCCGCGUGUGUGAAGAAGGCCCUCGGGUUGUAAAGCACUUUCAGUGAGGAAGAACGCCUGGUGGUUAAUACCCAUCAGGGAAGACAUCACUCACAGAAGAAGCACCGGCUAACUCCGUGCCAGCAGCCGCGGUAAUACGGAGGGUGCGAGCGUUAAUCGGAAUUACUGGGCGUAAAGCGCGCGUAGGUGGCUUGAUAAGCCGGUUGUGAAAGCCCCGGGCUCAACCUGGGAACGGCAUCCGGAACUGUCAAGCUAGAGUGCAGGAGAGGAAGGUAGAAUUCCCGGUGUAGCGGUGAAAUGCGUAGAGAUCGGGAGGAAUACCAGUGGCGAAGGCGGCCUUCUGGACUGACACUGACACUGAGGUGCGAAAGCGUGGGUAGCAAACAGGAUUAGAUACCCCGGUAGUC
rnacentral:rRNA from 1 species